UGCUGGGAUCGGGAAUCGAAA
rnacentral:miRNA from 1 species